rnacentral:rRNA from 1 species
AAGUUUGAUCCUGGCUCAGAGUGAACGCUGGCGGUAGGCCUAACACAUGCAAGUCGAACGGCAGCACAGUAAGAGCUUGCUCUUACGGGUGGCGAGUGGCGGACGGGUGAGGAAUACAUCGGAAUCUACUUUUUCGUGGGGGAUAACGUAGGGAAACUUACGCUAAUACCGCAUACGACCUACGGGUGAAAGCAGGGGAUCUUCGGACCUUGCGCGAUUGAAUGAGCCGAUGUCGGAUUAGCUAGUUGGCGGGGUAAAGGCCCACCAAGGCGACGAUCCGUAGCUGGUCUGAGAGGAUGAUCAGCCACACUGGAACUGAGACACGGUCCAGACUCCUACGGGAGGCAGCAGUGGGGAAUAUUGGACAAUGGGCGCAAGCCUGAUCCAGCCAUACCGCGUGGGUGAAGAAGGCCUUCGGGUUGUAAAGCCCUUUUGUUGGGAAAGAAAUCCAGCUGGUUAAUACCCGGUUGGGAUGACGGUACCCAAAGAAUAAGCACCGGCUAACUUCGUGCCAGCAGCCGCGGUAAUACGAAGGGUGCAAGCGUUACUCGGAAUUACUGGGCGUAAAGCGUGCGUAGGUGGUCGUUUAAGUCUGUUGUGAAAGCCCUGGGCUCAACCUGGGAACUGCAGUGGAAACUGGACGACUAGAGUGUGUAGAGGGUAGCGGAAUUCCUGGUGUAGCAGUGAAAUGCGUAGAGAUCAGAGGAACAUCCAUGGCGAAGCAGCUACUGGACCACACUGACACUGAGCACGAAGCGUGGGGAGCAAACAGAUUAGAUACCCUGUAGUCACGCCCUAACGAUGCNAACUGAUGUGGGUGCAAUUUGCACGCAGNNUCGAAGCUAACGCGUAGUUCNCGGCUG